rnacentral:rRNA from 1 species
AUGUGAUGCAGAAAAGUUCCCAUCAUGCAGAGCCCCAGCAAAAUGUCAGUGGUUUCUACUUCAAUUAGCCCUGUUGUGUCUGGAUUACAAGGUUGGGCCGAUCUUCCGGAUGGCCCCCUUUACUCCAUUGUUGCUCUGUUGGGAUCCUCCAUUGACAUUCUUGCUUUUGCUGCAACCUGCCACUCUUGGCGUGCAGCAUUCUCCUCCUACCGAUCUGCAUCUAACUUAUGCACAUUAAUCCCACCUCUUCUUAUCCGACCCGCUGGUCCUAACCAAGGUUCUUCUCUUCCUUCCAAGAAUUCUCGAUACAUGCUACGCAUACGUAAAGUCAUUGAUGUAGCUAGCAACAAUAGCGCCAUUCGCUGCCAGAUUCCUCAAGAAACUUUUGAGAACAUGCACUUUGCUGGCUCUUCACAUGGCCAUCUCAUCUGCUGCUACCGUGGAGAUUGUCUUGUUGUCGAUGUGUUCACCGGGGCCAUGGUUUCGCCUCCACGUCUCCCUUUCAGCAACAGCUACUAUGGUGGCACUCUCACUGCUCCACUUACAUCUCCCAACUCACAUCUCCUUGUAAGCACUCAAUCCUCCCUGUUUGAUUGGCCCGUUGGAAGUGACUCUUGGCAGGAACUCCAACUUCCUCAUGGAUGGAUAUUUCAGAUCGUGCAGUUCAACGGUCAGUUCAUCGCCAUGGACCACGAUAUGGGGAUCUAUACUUUGCGGUUGGCCCCUCGGUUAGGCCUGCGGGAGAUAUCAAUCGAGUGGUGCAGCGAGAUAGAGCCAGAAUCUUUUGUGCAGGCAUGGCUUGUGGUCUGUGGAGACAAUCUCCUCAUAGUCGACCACUUUGUGCACCUAUCGUCCGAAGAUCCUGUGUGCCACCGCCUCGACAUGUCGACCGAGCCCGCGAAGUGGGUGAAGGUGAAGACGUUGGACAACUGGGCGAUCUUCGUCGGGGGAGAUGAGCGGAGCCCUCCGUUUGCUUGCGUGCGCCCGGAGCGGUGGGGAGGGACGAGCAACAACUUGUACUACGCCCAUCACUCCCAGCCUUGGAGCGUGCACUAGCUGCGCGGCCAUGUGGACCUUGCUCCAACCAGCCAUCCCAACUUCAACUGGCGUAAGAGGUUUGUGCCCACAGCGAUGGCCAUGUGGGUGUACCCGAGCAUGUUCUACUCCGAUGGCCGGUGA